rnacentral:rRNA from 1 species
AUGGGGAAGAAAGGUAUAGUUGUGGCGACCACCGUCGUCGCCGUGAUGACUGUCAUCUUCGGAGUCAUCGGUGCGGUUUUCUUGGGACUGAGACGCUAUGAGGAUGACCGCGGUGACCGCAGCGUGUGCAAGUACGCGCGAUCGCCGGCGACGGCUUGCGGCGUCGUGGCGGCCGUGCUGGCGCUAACGACACAGAUUCUCGCUAGCGUGGCCAUCGGCUGCUGUGGGGCAUGGCAGAAUCCCAAGAGGGCCAAUCGCGUCGCCGCCGUCGUUUUCUACGUCAUCUCAUGGAUCCUAGCGAUCAUAGCGGUGCUGGUGUUUCUGGGCGGCGCCCUAUUAGGGAUUGAAGGAUAUAAGGAGAAAACUAUUGGGAAAACUAUUGAGAACGGUAGUUGUGUCGGAGGUGUCGGAGGUGAAGGAGUUUUCGUGGAUGCGAUAUUCCUGUUUCUUGUAGUUGUCGCCCUUGAGGUCUCCUCGUAUCUUCUUAUUCAGAAAGAUGACCACCACCAAGCAGCCGCAAGCGAUAAUCCUCCUUCGAUACCAACCGCUACAUCUCCUUUGGCAACAACAGCUACCUCUAAAGAUGAUGCCUACGCCUCCGCUCCCGCACCAGCAAAUCAAGUCUGA